CACGUAGGCACCAAGCGUUGUCCGGAUUUAUUGGGCGUAAAGAGCUCGUAGGCGGUUCAGUAAGUCAGGUGUGAAAUCUUUGGGCUUAACCCAAAGCGUGCACUUUGAUACUGCUGUGACUUGAGUUCGGUAGGGGAGUGGGGAAUUCCUAGUGUAGCGGUGAAAUGCGCAGAUAUUAGGAGGAACACCGGUGGCGAAGGCGCCACUCUGGGCCGAAACUGACGCUGAGGAGCGAAAGCG
rnacentral:rRNA from 1 species